rnacentral:rRNA from 1 species
UACGUAGGGGGCAAGCGUUGUCCGGAAUCAUUGGGCGUAAAGCGCGUGUAGGCGGCUUGGUAAGUCCGCUGUGAAAGUCGGGGGCUCAACCCUCGAAAGCCGGUGGAUACUGUCGGGCUAGGGUGCGGAAGAGGCGAGUGGAAUUCCUGGUGUAGCGGUGAAAUGCGCAGAUAUCAGGAGGAACACCAAUUGCGAAGGCAGCUCGCUGGGACGUUACUGACGCUGAGGAGCGAAAGCGUGGGGAGCAAACAGG